rnacentral:rRNA from 1 species
UACGGAGGGUGCAAGCGUUAUCCGGAUUCACUGGGUUUAAAGGGUGCGUAGGCGGCGCAGUAAGUUGGGUGUGAAAUCCCUCGGCUUAACCGAGGAAUUGCGCCCAAAACUACUGUGCUCGAGGGAGGUAGAGGUGAGCGGAACUUAGGGUGGAGCGGUGAAAUGCGUUGAUAUCCUAAGGAACACCGGUGGCGAAAGCGGCUCACUGGACCUCUUCUGACGCUGAGGCACGAAAGCUAGGGUAGCAAACGGG